GGGCCCGUAGCUCAGCAGGAUAGAGCGGCAGCCUCCUAAGCUGCAGGUCGGGGGUUCGAAUCCCUCCGGGCUCACCA
rnacentral:tRNA from 1 species